rnacentral:rRNA from 1 species
CUCCCCCGUUGCCGACCCCAGGUUCGAUAGCGCCAAUUAGGCGCCACCUCGCCAAGAACCAACUUCGGUGAAGCGACGGGCGGUGUGUGCAAGGAGCAGGGACG